rnacentral:misc_RNA from 1 species
AAAUUGACUCUGAGUUCUUCAAUAAUCGAGACAUUAUAAACGCUGCUACUGUAACAUCAGGGCUUCCUAAAGAGGAAUAUUUUAGAGAGGGAGCUGCACCUACAGAGUCUCCUUGUAGUGUGACUGACAAAUGGGAAAAAAUUGUAGUUGAAGCUGGAAACUCUGAACUCAUGCAGACCAAAGAUAUUGAAAGGACUCCUAUAAAUGAAGUUUUGGAUAAGAAAACCAUAGAUGCUGGGAAUAAGAAUCGGCAAUGUAUUGCUUUUAUUGAAUCGAAAGGAAGGCAGUGUGUUAGAUGGGCAAAUGAUGGUGAUGUUUAUUGUUGUGUACAUUUAGCCACUCGUUUCAUUGGCAGCUCCACCAGGGCAGAGGCAAGUCCUCCUGUUAAUAGUCCAAUGUGUGAAGGCACCACUGUUCUUGGAACCCGAUGUAAACAUCGUUCUCUACCAGGUUCCUCAUUCUGCAAGAAACACGGACCCCGGAUUGAUACAAUAAAUACCUCAAAUUCACCUGAAAAUAUACUUAAGAGAAAGCAUGAGCAGAUUAUUCCAGGUUCAGAGGCCAC